UGGAUAGCUCAGUUAAAGCGUGGUGCUGAUAACACCAUGACUGCAGGUUCGAUUCCCGUAUGAAAAA